rnacentral:rRNA from 1 species
CCCUUAGAUGUUCUGGGCAGCACGCGCGCUACAAUGGUCUUCGCAAACGGAUGCAUUCUCGAAGGAGAAUGCCAAUCUUGGAAUCUAUGCCUUGGUCGGGACAGUUGCUUGCAAUUUUUCGACUCGAACCAAGAAUUCCUUGUAAUCGUGAUUCAUCACAUCACGAUGAAUACGUCCCUGCCCUUUGUACACGCCGCCCGUCGCUCCUACCGAUCGAAGAGUUAGGUGAAUUGUUUUGAUCGAUAAGAUUUGACUAUGGUCAACUCUCGUUGUGAAAUUCUGUGAAUCUGACUGUUUAGAGGAAGGAAAAGUCGUAACA